ACGGGCUUCGGUCUGGUGGCGAGUGGCGAACGGGUGAGUAAAGUAUCGGAACGUACCUUUCGGUGGGGGAUAACGUAGCGAAAGUUACGCUAAUACCGCAUAUUCUGUGAGCAGGAAAGCAGGGGAUCGCAAGACCUUGCGCUGAUUGAGCGGCCGAUAUCAGAUUAGCUAGUUGGUGGGGUAAAGGCCUACCAAGGCGACGAUCUGUAGCGGGUCUGAGAGGAUGAUCCGCCACACUGGAACUGAGACACGGUCCAGACUCCUACGGGAGGCAGCAGUGGGGAAUUUUGGACAAUGGGGGCAACCCUGAUCCAGCCAUGCCGCGUGAGUGAAGAAGGCCUUCGGGUUGUAAAGCUCUUUCGGCCGGGAAGAAAUCGCAUGGGCCAAUACCCUGUGUGGAUGACGGUACCGGAAUAAGAAGCACCGGCUAACUACGUGCCAGCAGCCGCGGUAAUACGUAGGGUGCGAGCGUUAAUCGGAAUUACUGGGCGUAAAGCGUGCGCAGGCGGUUUAGUAAGACAGGCGUGAAAUCCCCGGGCUCAACCUGGGAACUGCGCUUGUGACUGCUAAGCUAGAGUAC
rnacentral:rRNA from 1 species